UUUUGAAAAAGAGAAAGAACACAGUUGGGUCGGUAGGAAGGACCUGGGAGAAGUUAGGAGAGGGGAAAACAUGGUCAAAAUACAUAUGAAAAAAUUAAUAAAAAACCCAAACGUGAGCUGCCACACAUGGCUUUAGAAGUGUACUCUGAUGUGAGCAGAGCAAGGGGACUUUGGAGACACAUUUUUGAGAUGGUAUGACCUGCUGAGCUGGCCGUUUAGUCCCUCAGAGGCACAUUCAUGAGGGGUCAGGUUUGGAUUGCAGUCUCAGUUUGCAAUAAGAUCGCAGCUGCCAGGAGUCCACAUGCCACCUUUGUCUACAUUGGAAACAGGAGUCUCCUCUUAGGCAGCUGCAGCCACAGCAGCCUUUGUCAAGAUAACUCUCUUGCUACACAGUUUGGCCAGUGACGACUCCCAGCUCUUGCUAUUCUUCAGUGUCUUUGAGAAGCACAUGGGCUGUCCCAUGGUACAGCGCAACCCUGACUGAACCUCUCCUUCAAAGCCACAGCACGCUCAGCUAAGCCAAUCAGGCUAUCCCCCACCCCCGUUUUUUCGCUUUGGAAUAUGUUUGUUGGCUCUGCCAGUGUGGCGUGUAAGAAAGAACCGAUUAGUCUCCAGGUUCCUUGCUCCCCAGAAUGCCCUUAAGCCCGCUUCCCUCUACCGCUUCUGUUGGAGGCUUUGACUUCAGAGAUUCCGACUUCACAUUACUCACUAACCCACACCUUAAAUGAUUAUGCUUCUAGAUCCCAUCACAGGGUUAUUAUGUGAUUUGUUCCAGCCCUUCUUCCUAAUCAAACCUUAUUCCUUCCUCUGAAGAGACCAGAAGGACAAGCCAACAGCCAAGUCCCCGCAACUUCCCAGGUUCCGGUUAACCUUGGUUGCUGAGUUUCGGUGCAGCGCAGGACUGGAAGGCUCUCCCAGAUCACCCCUGCCAAGGCUGCUUCUCCACUUCUUGUCUAUCAUUGGGGAGACAUACAAACAUGCUUGUCUCCCCAGUGUUCCUGAAUUAUUCUCUUUAUAGCUGGUUAAGGUCAAGGCUAGGAGAACAAUGGCCCCAAUUAGAAGAAACACCACAAACAAACUUUUGAGGGUCAGCUGUCCUGGGCUUCUGUGGAUGGGCUCCGUGUUAGCUGUACACUAUCUCCUGGGAAGAGGGCUUCCAUCAAGGACAGUCAAUUCUGUCUUCUCCAAAUAGCAGAUUAAGAGGAGCAACAAAGUAGCCUUCGGGGAUGACUGCACUAGUAAUGUGGAUGGCUGCCACUACAAAGCAGGGAGAUCCAUCAAUUGGAGGAUUCUUCCAGUUUUAAACGUCCAAGACUGAAAUAACAGUGAUUUUCCAUUUAUGUUUGAACCAGAUUUAAGGAUUUUUUUUUUAAUUUAAGGAGUUUUUGCAGGUAGAUAAAAAAACCACUUGAGAAAAUAAUCUACCACUGUCAAAUGGUGGUGGGGCCCAGAUCACCUAAGUGCCCCCAAUUCAGCAACUUCUUGGUGCCCAUUCUAUGAAACUCAUAUGAUCAUAGGCAGGAAUAAUCUUUAUUAAUUAUACUAACUUAUCUUCUGAGUCAGAGUCUUUCACUGAACCUAGAACUGGCUGGCUAGGGAGUCCUGGGGAAGCCCCUCUCUCUGCCUCCACAGCGUGGGAACCACAGGCAUGAGCUCCUACCUGUGCCUGGCUUUAGAAAGUAUUAUUGUCAUCAUCAUCAUCAUCAUCAUCAUAUUAUUAUUAUUAUUAUUAUUACUGAGAUUAUAAUAUAAUAACAUCAUUUCUCUUUUAUACUUAAACCCUCCUAUAUAUUACUCCUCUCUUUCAAAUUCAUGGCCCCCACUUUUUAUUAACUGUUGUUAAUACACACAUGCACACAUGCACGCACACGCACAUACACACAUAUACACACACUCCUAAAUAUUGCCUGUUUGGUCUAGAUAAUAUUAUUUGUAUGUAUAUUUUCAAGAGUGACCAGUUGGCAAUGUUUAAGCACUGGUGUGCUCUUCCCUAUGGAAGACUACCUCUCGAUGUCAGUGUUCCCUAGCUGGUUGCAGCUCUAUGUGUACGACUGAGGCCUUGCAGGCUUUCUUACAUCUAUUGUUGUCCUUAUUCAACCCAUGUUCAGGCAGUCAUGUUGGUGUGACUUUAUGGGCAUGGCUUCUGACAUUACUAGGAGAUACAGUCUCACAGCUCUUAGAAUCUCCCUGAGUCCUACCAUCCUUCUGCUCCUCUCCCACAGUAUCCUGAAGCCUUAGGUGCAGUGGGACGCUCUAUAAAUGUAUUCGUCGGGACUGGCUCUUCCUUUUGAUUGGUUGUGGUUUUCUGUAAUGGUUUCUAUCUGUUUCAGAGAGAAAUCUCCUGGAUAAGAGAGUCCUCUACAGACACACCUUAAAGACAAUGGUGGGUGAGGAGCAGAGGUUGCAAAGGAAGAAGAAUAGAUUGGUUCCUGUAGAAGUCAAGGGGGCCAGAUGGAUCAGGAUGGUGUAUGCCUGGCAGUGGUCAAAAACUGCAGUCUGUUGGAGCUGGAGAUCACGCUUCGGACCUGGAGGCAAGCAGCACUGGUCUCUGGUUCACCAGUUGAUGACUUAAGCUCGGAGGACAGAGUCCUUCUCCUAUGGGAAAGGCCCCAGCGGACAUGCACAGCUCAGCCAGAAAUUACAACGUCUGGGAGGCUUGUCUGCAUUUCUCUUUGUGAUAACUUUUGUGGCAUUUCACCCCAAGUAUUUCAGAAAUAUAUCUACCCACCCACAGACUUUAUGUGUAGAGGAGUACUGGUCUUCUGGAAUAUUAAAUGCUCUCUCUCUCACACACACAAACCAAAGCAAAAUUUGAAGGAUAAGUUGAUGCAUUGAUAGAACGUUAUUUGGUUGUAACAAAAUCUGUAAGGAUGUGUGUAUUUUAAAAAUAAUGAGUGUGUGUGGAAGGCAGGCAGAAGAGCAAGUUUUGUCUUUAAGGGAGCCCUGGUGUGAACUGUCAAUUCUUUGUGGAUUAGUAUGUGCUGGCUUUAGCUCAUUUAAACUUUAGCAAAUCUCUCUGAGUGAGGCAACUCUUACUCUUCCCUGAAGAUGAAGUUUCUGAGUCUCAAUCAAUCUAAGGCCACAUGACUAAUGUGAAGCUACAACUAAGGUGCCCCGUUGCUCCAAAGAUACAGCUCAUACUUAUUCCAUUAUACCAUGUUAUAUGCAGAGAAACCUAUGCUAUUACUAGCUCAGUAAAGGACUUUGAGCAAUAGCAGCUGAGUAUGCAUAUUAUAAUAUAAUAGUAUAUGGAAUUAACAGUAUAUAAGAAACAUAUCCCUGUUUUAUACUACAUACUUAUUUUUUAAUCAAAUAAAGUAACAAUGUGAUGGAAUCUAUAUGAAGAUAAAUAUCUAUAUGAAGAUAUUUUUGUCCUUUGCCCCCAGAACCCUUGGAGGACUCCCUUCUGAUUUGGGGAGGUUAUCAUGAAUGAACCAGUGCAGAUACGUCGUCACCCCUGUUCCUCCUGCUUCUGCAGCAGCAGACCCCUCAGGAUAUUCAUUUCCCAGGCAACAAGAUACAUGCUUCCACUACUCACAAGGAUUCCAAGAGCAGACUGCAAUCAUGAAGGCCUAAGGUGGCCCAGGGUGUAACACUAAGCAAUUAGACAACCAGAUUUACUUUCCACAGAGGCAGAACCAAACUUAGAAAUAGAAAAUAAAGAGUUUUUUUCCCUCCCCGAUCCUCCAAAUUCUGUUGUGUGUUUCCCCCUUUUUCUUCUAAUCAUAAAAAAAAAUAAAAAC